GAGACUGGGAAGAAAGAAUGAUAGGAGAAACUCAACCUGUAUUGUUUGAGGCUAUUUAAUUGCCAGUUUGGUUUGUCCAGGAACAUUGUGUGCCAAGAGUCUACGUUUUCGGGCCUUGAGGCUCCGAACUGAGAUGCCGAGCAGACAAAUGAGGACUGCUGAUACAGGGUGCAGGUUCUGUGCUUUUACUCAUGAACAAGCUGUCCUUAAUGUUGUCUGCUGGGCCAGGCACUGCCUUUGUAAUUAAGGAAUUUAUAAUCUUGAAAGCAG